rnacentral:rRNA from 1 species
GAAAGGUUUAACACUUUAAAUCCUGUAAUCUUAUGAUUAUUUGAAAUUUUAAUACAAAUAAAAAUAUUUAUUUCAUUUGGGGGACAACAAGACCCUGUUGAACUUUACAUAUUUGUUUUUCUGGGGUGGAAAUAAAACUAAAUCUUUUUUCCCUUUUCUUAAAUAACAAAAGCCUUUAAUUUUAAACAAGUUACCACAGGGAUAACAGCACAAUUUUUUCUUAUAGACCGUAUUAAAGAAAAAGUUUAUGACCUCGAUGUUGAAUUAUUUUUCUUUUAUGGAGCAAAAAUCUAAAAAGAAAGUCUGUUCGACUUUUAAAUUUUUACAUGAUUUGAGUUCAGACCGGCGCAAGCCAGGUCGGAUUCUAUCUCCUUUUAUUCUUUUUAGUACAAAAGGACCAAAAUAAUAUUAAUUUAAUAAUUUU